rnacentral:rRNA from 1 species
CCUACGGGUGGCUGCAGUGGGGAAUAUUGGACAAUGGGGGCAACCCUGAUCCAGCAAUGCCGCGUGAGUGAAGAAGGCCUUCGGGUUGUAAAGCUCUUUUGUCCGGGACGAUGAUGACGGUACCGGAAGAAUAAGCCCCGGCUAACUUCGUGCCAGCAGCCGCGGUAAUACGAAGGGGGCUAGCGUUGCUCGGAAUCACUGGGCGUAAAGGGCGCGUAGGCGGCGCGGUCAGUCAGGCGUGAAAGCCCGGGGCUCAACCUCGGAAUUGCGCUUGAUACUGUCGCGCUUGAGGACGGGAGAGGACAGUGGAAUUCCCAGUGUAGAGGUGAAAUUCGUAGAUAUUGGGAAGAACACCGACGGCGAAGGCAGCUGUCUGGACCGUUUCUGACGCUGAGGCGCGAAAGCGUGGGGAGCAAACAGGAUUAGAUACCCUUGUAGUC